rnacentral:snRNA from 1 species
GGAUGGUUUAAGACGAUCUGGCUGUGACAUCUGUCAUCCCAUUGAUAGUAGGGUUAAUUUGGCUGAUCUAGCUGGCUAAGUGGGGGACCCCUUCCUCUCUCACCACUCCAUGUGCAUCCUUCCUGAAGCUGCAUGCUCUGUAAAAGAGGACAACCUUCUUCAAUAGAGGAAGACCACCAUUCAGUCAAGAGUAUAGGAGUAGAUGCUCCCCUGAAGCUUCACACAAGUUCUCAAGUUCCAUUUGUAGAAGAACAUCAGGUAGUCAAGCUUCCAAGACUCCAGACACAGAUGAGGCGCUGUGUGUGGCAGUCCACCUUUCUGU